UGGAAGGCGGACCAGCAGGAGCGGCAGGGGCAGGUGCUGGAGCUACUGCUCGCGGUGCUGCACAAGUCGGUGGCGUUGCCGUGCCAGAUGGCGGACGCCGACGACCCAGCCGCCGGCGCGGGGGGCUAGGUGAUGGACAUCGGCUGGCCCACCGACGUCCACCACGUCGCGCAUGUCACCUUCGACCGCCUCCAGGGCUUCCUCGGCCUCCCCGUCGAGUUCGAGCUCCAGAUCCCCUGCCCAGCCCCCAGCGCCAGUGCCAGCGUGUUCGGGGUGUCACCGGAGUCGAUGUAGUGCGGCUACAACGACAGGGGCAACUCAGUGCCCAAGAUCCUCCUGCUCAUGCAGGAGCGGCUCUACUCCCAGGAUGGCCUCAAGAUAGAGUCAACAAAGAUGGUGCUAGGAACUCAAAAAACCUGCAGUAGCAGUGUUGAUGAUGCUCCAAUUUCAAAGAAAGGUAAUAACAUGUUCAGUGCUCUGAAGGUUCCAGAGUCAUAAUUCCAACUCAGCUCAAUGACCUCAUUUGGUGUAAAUGCACUAGGUGAAGUGUGAAUCCAAGGCCGAAGCUGUGAAUCAUAUCAACAAAGAGGAGCAUAUUAUGUGUUGUAAUUGUACGCAUAUCUGGGUUGUAGUAUACUGAAUUGUAAUAGACUAAUGUAGUCUUGUUUUGG